rnacentral:ncRNA from 1 species
GACCGACGGUGCGACGAAUACAAGACCCGAAAGGGGAAUAAGUCCGCCAUUUUGCUUUAUGGUUUUGAGCCGUUGGUCGCCCAUGU